AUUGAACGCUGGCGGCAGGCUUAACACAUGCAAGUCGAGCGGAGAUGAGGUGCUUGCACCUUAUCUUAGCGGCGGACGGGUGAGUAAUGCUUAGGAAUCUGCCUAUUGGUGGGGGACAACAUUCUGAACGGAAUGCUAAUACCGCAUACGUCCUACGGGAGAAAGCAGGGGAUCUUCGGACCUUGCGCUAAUAGAUGAGCCUAAGUCGGAUUAGCUAGUUGGUGGGGUAAAGGCCUACCAAGGCGACGAUCUGUAGCGGGUCUGAGAGGAUGAUCCGCCACACUGGGACUGAGACACGGCCCAGACUCCUACGGGAGGCAGCAGUGGGGAAUAUUGGACAAUGGGGGGAACCCCGAUCCAGCCAUGCCGCGUGUGUGAAGAAGGCCUUAUGGUUGUAAAGCACUUUAAGCGAGGAGGAAGCUACUGAGACUAAUACUCUUGGAUAGUGGACGUUACUCGCAGAAUAAGCACCGGCUAACUCUGUGCCAGCCGCCGCGGUAAUAC
rnacentral:rRNA from 1 species